AGGCUGACAUCAAUCCCAGUUUCUCCUUUGAGACUCAUCAGAAGACCCUGAUGGAGGAGGAUAAUGCCCAGAGAGAGGAGACCCAGGAGGAUGGAGUCAGUGAUGGACAACAUGUUGUUUUGAGUUCCUCGAGGGCCAUGACCUUCACCUUUGUAAGCCUAGAGUGUCGCUCAGGAUUUGGCAGAGGGUCACACGCCCGCGUGCGGAGGGGGACUGAGGUCGCCCUAGGUCCAGUUGGUCGCCUUCCGCGAAAGCGGCCACCGUUCCAUCUGCAUGGUUUUCAUUGGCUGCAGCAACUGAUUAAAACACGUUGGAAAUAAAAAAA